rnacentral:rRNA from 1 species
GACGAACGCUGGCGGCGUGCCUAAUACAUGCAAGUCGAACGCAGUGGGGACGGGUGAGUAACACGUGGGUAACGUCCGAUCAGAGGGGAGAAAACUUGGAAACAAGUGCUAAACCGAUACUGAUGGAUGGAGACGCGGUGCAUUAGCUAGUUGGUGAGGUAACGGCUCACCAAGGCCACGAUGCAUAGCCGACCUUAGAGUGUGAUCGUCCACACUGGUACUGAGCCACGGCCCAGACUCCUACGUGAGGCAGCAGUAGGGAAUCUUCGGCAAUGGACGAAAGUCUGACCGAGCAACGCCGCGUGAGUGAAGCAGGUUUUCGGAUCGUAAAACUCUGUUGUUAGAGAAGCGGUAUCUAACCAGAAAGCCCCGGCUAACUACGUGCCAGCAGCCGCGGUAAUUC